rnacentral:misc_RNA from 1 species
GGCUUAUCCAAGUGUUUAGAAGAUAGGAAAAAUGAUUUGAAAGCACAAGACACACUUUCUCUGGAUGCUGCAAACUCUUUGAUAUCAAAAUUAAGAGCUCAGCUAGGGCCAUUUCGACCUGUCAUAGAUGAAGCAAGCCCUUGGGAGGAGAAAUCUGCAGCCAUUAGAUUGUCUGAUAAGAUGCUAAAGAGUAAACGAAAUAAACUUUGGAGGAAGAGAAAGAGAAAACGUAUUGCAGAAAUGCAUGCAAAGGAGCAUGAACAAUUUGACCAAGCUGAUCGAGAAGCUAACGAGUGGAUGGCUAGGGAGAUUGCCAAGGAUGUUGCACAACUCAAGGUGGAUAAUAUGAAGCAGAUUGCAAAGCUUAAAGUGAAAGAGGAGAGAAAGA